rnacentral:rRNA from 1 species
UGCAAGUCGAACGGUAACAGGUUUGUAGCAAUACAAAUGCUGACGAGUGGCAGACGGGUGAGGAACACGUACACAACUUCCCUUUAUCUGGUGAAUAGCCCCUCGAAAGAGGGAUUAAUACACCAUAACAUCUUGAAGAGUCAUCUCUUUACGAUUAAAGCUCAGGCGGAUAGAGAUGGGUGUGCGUCUGAUUAGCUAGUUGGUUGAGGUAACGGCUCACCAAGGCGACGAUCAGUAACUGGUGUGAGAGCACGACCAGUCACACGGGCACUGAGAUACGGGCCAGACUCCUACGGGAGGCAGCAGUAGGGAAUAUUGGACAAUGGGUGAGAGCCUGAUCCAGCCAUGCCGCGUGCAGGAAGAAGGCGUUAUGCGUUGUAAACUGCUUUUGCGGGGGAAGAAACCUGAUUUUUCUAAAUCAGCCGACGGUACCCCGAGAAUAAGCACCGGCUAACUCCGUGCCAGCAGCCGCGGUAAUACGGAGGGUGCAAGCGUUAUCCGGAUUUACUGGGUUUAAAGGGUGUGUAGGCGGACUUUUAAGUCAGCGGUGAAAUCUCCGGGCUCAACCCGGAAACUGCCAUUGAUACUAUUUGUCUUGAAUGUUGUUGAGGUGGGCGGAACGGGUCAUGUAGCGGUGAAAUGCAUAGAUAUGACCCGGAACACCGAUUGCGAAGGCAGCCCACUAAGCAACGAUUGACGCUGAGGCACGAAAGCGUGGGGAUCAAACAGGAUUAGAUACCCUGGUAGUCCACGCCCUAAACGAUGAUUACUCGACGUUGGCGAUACACUGAUCAGCGUCCAAGCGAAAGCAUUAAGUAAUCCACCUGGGAAGUACGUUCGCAAGAAUGAAACUCAAAGGAA